GCUUCCUCCACGAUAUCAGUUCUUGCUUAAUCUCAACGGUCCCAGAAAAAUUCUAUGACAAAGUUGAAGAAGGAAAAAUCAAACUGAAAAAGGCUCCCAGCUUUAGUUUCUGUCACAAUGGCGUUCUGGUGGAAGGUGAGACUACACCUGUUGAGGCAGACGUGGUCAUCAUGGCCACUGGAUUCAAGGGGGAGAAAAAGCUCAGAGACAUUUUCGUGUCCCAAACCUUUCAGGACUACAUAGCUGGAUCACCUGAUGCUGCAAUUCCACUCUACAGGUUACUUUUUUUUCUUUGGGCAGUCAAGGAACGAUUGUUCUGUAAUUACUUAGAUCAAUUCUAAUUAAAUUUCUUGUUUGAUCACUGAUCAGGGAGUGCAUUCAACCUCAUAUACCCCAACUAGCUGUGAUCGGAUUCUCUGAGAGUGUGUCGAAUUUGUACACCUCAGAGAUAAGAUGCCGAUGGCUAGCAGAACUUCUUGAUGGCACAUUCAAGCUGCCUAGCAUCAAAGAGAUGGAAAAAGAUGUGACAAAAUGGGAUGAAUACCUGAAACGAUACUCGGGUGAAUACUAUCGUAGGAAAUGCAUUGGUGCUCUUCAUGUUUGGUAUAAUGAUCAACUCUGCAAAGAUAUGGGAUGGAACCCCAGGCGGAAGAAGGGAUUCUUUGCUGAACUUUUUGAGCCUUAUGGUCCCUUGGAUUAUGUCCCCUCUUCAGCUGCCUCUUAGCCAUGGGUUUUCUCAUCUUUCAUCAUCUUGUUUUAUGAAUUUCAUUCCUGCUUGUCCCCCAUUUUCAACAGAAUGAGUUUGUUUUGCUUCAUGAUACUUAAUACGAAGCACGGUGUAAGAAUAAUUGAUUUCUUAUUUUGGGUAAUAAUAAGAAUAAGAAAUAUUAAUACUAUUUUAUUUAAAUUAUAUUUAUUAAAAAGGUUAUAUAUUUUUUAAAUUGAGAAUUUCUUCACUUAUUGUCAAUUGAUUUUAAUUUAGACUUGUUUUACUCUUUUUUCUAGUAAUUUUUUUUCGUUGAUUCAUGUUACGUAAUUAUAAGUUGGUGAUUUUCACAUGUAAUAAAAGUAUUGAAUUUAUCACAAUUUUAUAUUUCUUGAAUUAAGAGUAUUUUUAAUAUAUAAAUAUGAUAAAUCUUGUCAAAUAUUAUUAAUAAAUUUUAAAUAAGAUAUUCGGAAAAAAAUUAAAAAAAGAUAGGGAAUAUUCAAUGAAUAUUUCCCACCAGGGAACCGGUACCUACUAUCGAAGGCCAUAAAUCACAUUGAACCGAUGAGGCCCAAUGAGAAUUUCUCGAACGAGAACCAUGCCUAGGGAGACGUAUGCUUGUUUGCUUGUCUUUACCUCAAUACGCCUUUUUAGCCAUAACAUUUGCAUGGGUUUAUUAUACCUAGUCUAUUUUUGGUUUCCAUCGGUGGAAAAGACUUGAGUUCUAGUUAUAGUAAGUCUAGCAGCUGUCUAUUACUAUGUCAGAAGGAAAGAUGAGCUAAGAAGAAUCAAAUGAAAAGACCAGCUUCUAUUAUGGAGCAGAAUGGUCCAGCCAACCAGGCACAGAAAAUGGGAGACGAGGAUUCACGUGAAGGGUGUUUAUUUAUUUGCUUGAAUCUUUUCUAAUGAUUAAUCAAUCACUCGGUUCAAGUGACAAACCUACCUUACGUAUCAACUAAGUAGUCAUGGUUUCAAGAAUUUCUUUGAUGGGAGAAAACUAGUUGAGUGUACCAAGUUUCAGUGUCCGAACAUGUUGAUCAAAUGGAGAAGCAAAUAGCCAUCAUCGGAGCUGGUAUUAGCGGCCUCCUCGCAUGCAAGUACACCCUCUCAAAGGGUUUCCAUCCGACAGUUUUCGAGUCCCAAAGCAGCAUCGGAGGAGUUCGGACCACAGCACUUGAGAGGACAAAACUUCAGACCUCAAAACAAUUUUAUCAGUUCUCAGAUUUUCCAUGGCAAUCUUCAGUCGCAGAAGAGUUCCCUAGCUAGCAUCAAGUGCUGGAGUAUAUUGAAGCUUAUGCCCAUCAUUUUGACUUGCUUCGGCAUGUCAGAUUCAAUGCCAAAGUCGUUAGCAUUGACUUCGAAGGGCCAACGGAUGAAGAGAUGCGAUCUUGGCAUCUCUGGGGUGGGACUGAUGAGCCCUUCAGCUCCAAAGGAAAGUGGAAUGUUGUAGUACAGGACACCCAGAAUCAUUCUACAGAGGUAUGUAAUUAAGUUUAUAAUCAUAAAGCUCAACAAGAACAAAGUGAACGAGAAGAAAAGAUAAUGUCCUGACUUGGAUGAAUUUUCUUUUAAAUGUGAAAUUCAGGUUUACCAGGUGGACUUUGUAGUCCUUGGCCUAGGCCGGUUCAGCGGCAUUCCAAACAUUCCAUCGUUUCCUCCAGGAAAAGGGCCAGAAACCUUUCACGGUGAGGAAAUACACUCCAUGGAUUAUGCUGCCAUGGAUUACAAACUUGCUGCUAAAUGCAACAAAGGGAAGCGAAUUGUUGUCGUUGGACUCCAGAAAUCUGCCUUGGACAUCGCAAUGGAAUGUUCUACAGCAAAUGGUAAGAUUACAAAAUUUCUUUAGUUCUAAGAUGUAUGCAAAACUCACAGGCUGGAUUUUCUGACAUGAAGUUUCAAUCUAUCCUGUUUCCAGGCGUAGAACUUCCUUGUACAGUAUUAUACAAGACCGAACGUUGGGGCGUCCCCAAUUACCUUCCAUGGGGAAUGCCGCUAGCUUAUUUAUACCUCAAUCGCUUCUCAGAGCUUUUGGUUCAUAAGCCUGGUGAAGGCUUCCUCCUUAGUUCAUUGGCAACAAUUCUUUCACCUCUGGUAACUAAUAAAAUUUCUUAUCUAAAGCACAUCUUGAGCACCUUCAGGAAAUUAACUGCAGCAGACUGAAAUCGGUUCUAUUAACUGCAGCGAACUGAAAUCGGUUCUUUGCUAUUAAACAGAGAUGGGUAUUCUCAAAAUUCGUCGAGAGUUAUAUCAAAUGGAAACCUGCCUUUGGCAAAGUUUGCGAUGGUACCAAAGCACAGCUUUCAUAAAGAAAUUAGCUCCUGUUUGACCUCAACAGUGCCAAAAAACUUCUAUGACAGAGUUGAGGAAGGAAGCAUCUUACCGAAGAAGACCCAAAAUAUAAGCUUCAUGAAGAAGGAUAAUGGUAGAUGACGAAGAUUCACCUCUAAAGACAGAUUUGGUGAUACUGGCUACUGGAUUCAGGAGAGAUAAAAAGCUUAGAGACAUUUUUGCGUCCCCCACUUUUCGAGACUGCAUGGCUGGCUCACCUGAAGCAAGAGUUCCAAUCUACGGGUUGAGAAUCUUAACCAGCUACAUGUUCAAACCAUAGUUUCAUCAAAUUAAACCAGUAACCAGAAAAAGAAUAAAGACUAUGAGAACUAACUCAUAUCUCUUCAAACAAGAUGGAUUUCUAGGAGCAAUGAAGCUUGAUGAUAGGAAAAUGGCAAGAAAAAGGCUCACGGGGUACUAAGAGAAAUGGAGUAGCCAAGCACUUUUCCCUCAAGGGUGGUGGACAAGACACAGUGAAAAUGAGCUUCCAUCCCCCUUUUUCUUUGUUAUGGGAGAUCUCUUGAGGCAAGAGCCUUGAAAUGGCUUUCAUUUCCCAUUUUUUCAUGCAUGGGCGGAUUGGCCAAUGUCACCGUCCUUUUCUAUUUUUUUUAAUCACAUGUCAUUCUAUGUAAUUUCUUAUUUUGUUAUUAACGUUGCUUUUCAAUGGUGGCACGUGCAUGCAAUGUUUCAUUAUCCAUUCUUUUAUCUUUGAUUAGACUGCCUUGCCUAUGCAUUGGUCCACAUGAUAUUUUUUUUGUUUAUUUCAUUUUCAUUUCAUUUUACAUGCAUUUCAUUUUCAUUUCCUUUUAAUGUCACUUUAUCAUCAAAUAAUAUUUCAUACAUAUUUCCUUUGCUAAUAGCCUUUGCCACCCCAUGCACCAAUAAAAUUUCAUGCAUUUAUUUCUUAUUUGGCCUCCCUCACAACCAAUAGAAUUUCAUGCACUCUUUAAUUUAUUUCUUUUAUUCUUAAUCCUUUUUCUACUAGCAUGUGUACCUACUCAAAUUUCAUGCAUGUCUUUUUUUUAAUAAAAUAUUAUUUAAUUUUUUUCUCUUUGUCAUCUUUUAUAUGAUGGGGGUCUCAUAUGUCCCUCACUAAACUUUAUCUUUACGUACAAUUAUUUAUAUGUAACUGUAACUUCACAUUAUAGGAAUCUUAUAUGUCUUUCAUUAAAAAUUAUCUUUUAGAGGGAAAAAAGUCUGAUGGUUCUAGAACUACUUAAAAGUAUUAUGGUCACCGACAAGAUUAAAAGAAAUUUUUCUUAAUUAACCAUGCAUGUGUGCAUGACUUAUUUUAUUAUAUAUUAAAAUACCCAUUUAAUGAUUCUUAACAGGGGUACUUAACAUUUGCCUUGCUAGUAUCAGUAGCUAGCACUACUGGCACUGCUCCAGAGCAGAGUUAUUUAAUAUUUUAUUAACCAAAAAUCAAAGUUAAAGUUCUGCAUUGAAUAAAGUGAUUAAAGGAAAGUAGAUUCAAUUGACCUUGGAUCUUGCAAAAUAAAAAAAUCGAUUUCUUUUCCAAUGCAAGAUUCACUGAAGGACACAAAAGGAAUUAUGCUAGAAAGAAUUACCACUAAUAAUCUGAGUUAUAUAUUUCAAUGCAUAGAAAGUAAUAAAAUAUAUAUUUAUAUAUAUAUACUAAGUAGUGUGUGUAUAUAUAUAUAUAAUACUAUUUAUAAUGAAAAUGACGGAUGCAGCCCCAGUUAUGCUCCUGUUGGUGACUUUAUCUUCUAUUUUUUAAUGGCAAAAAGGGGUUAAUCAAAAUCAAGAAGAUCAAAGACUUGGAGCACCAGUUUGAGGGGGAUGAUAGUUUAUUUAUUUGAUUCCUGAGGAUCUUAGGCAGAGUGCUAUAUAGAGAGAGAGGCAAAAAGGCAGGCUAUAUCGAUAGAGUAUCAGACAAUUUGGCAAUGGAGAGGCAGGUGGCAAUCGUUGGAGCUGGAAUAAGUGGCCUCCUUGCCUGUAAGUACACCUUGUCGAAAGGUUUCCAUCCAGUUGUUUUCGAGUCCCAAAGGAGCGUUGGAGGGGUAUGGACCCAAACGCUGGAGACUACAAGGCUCCAAACCCCCAAGUCAGUUUAUCAGUUCUCAGAUUUUCCUUGGCCAUCUUCAGUCACAGAUGAUUUCCCUACCCAACACGAUGUCUUCGAUUAUGUUAAGGCGUAUGCACAACAUUUUGACUUGCUUAAGCACAUCAAAUUCAACACCAAAGUUGCUGGUAUUGAGUACGAAGGCCCCCCUGAUGAAGAGAUGCGAUCUUGGAGUUUAUGGGGUGGCACUGGUGAGCCCUUUAGCUCCAAAGGGAAAUGGAAGGUCAUCGUGGAAGACUUGGAAAGCCUUUCAACUGAGGUAUUUCUCAUCAUAAUUCAGAGGAUAAAUAGUGAUUUAUAUGACAAAAAAAAAGUUAUCAUAAUUCCGAGACUUGUGAAAUUCAUUGCAGAUUUACCUAGUGGACUUUGUAAUCAUUUGUGUGGGGCGGUUCAGUGGUCUGCCAAACAUUCCAGAAUUCCCCCCAAACAAGGGCCCGGAAGCAUUUCGUGGUAAGGUAAUACAUUCCAUGGACUAUGCUGCCAUGGAUAAUGAAAAGGCUGCUGAGUUCAUCAAAGGCAAACGAGUCAUUGUCGUUGGGUUCCAGAAAUCUGCUUUGGACAUUGCAAUGGAGUGCACUUUUGCAAAUGGUAAUUAGAAUUUAAUCUGAACUGCUGGAAUUCAUAGUUCUUUCUACAUUAGACCAAGUAAAGUUUGCUCUUACCUCUUCGAGAACCGAUAAAUUUUGUGGACUUCAUAUGGAAAGGAACUUGUGAUCAUGUCUCAAUGUGUUUGGUGUCGUUACAAGGAAAUAAAAUUUCUUUAAAUUUCAUUAGUUUUCAGGGGUGGAAAAUCCAUGCACAGUUUUCUACAGGACUGCACACUGGAAUGUCCCUGAUUACCUUCCCUGGGGGAUUCCACUUGGAUAUAUGUAUCUUAACCGAUUCUCAGAGCUUAUGGUUCAUAAGCCUGGUGAAGGGCUUCUACUUGGUCUCUUAGCUACAAUUCUGGCACCGGUGGUAACAUUGCUCUUCAUUCUUUACACCUUGCUAUGUUCUGUUUUACUUUUUAUCAAUGAGCAAUGUGCUUGCUCAGAAGCAAACGACAGUUUAUCUGUGAUUUCUAUAUUUGGAUGGAACCUGCAAAUAUCAGAUGACACCAUCCAUUUAUUUUCUUCACUCCUAUUGUUUCUUCCACUGAUUACUUGUAAUUAUUUGACAGAGAUGGUCAUAUUCAAAAUUUGUUGAAAGUGAUAUCAAAAGGAAGCUACGUUUAGCAAAGCAUGGCAUGGUACCCACACAUAACUUCCUCCAUGAAAUCAGUUCUUGCUUAAUCUCAACGGUCCCAGAAAAAUUCUAUGACAAAGUUGAAGAAGGAAAAAUCAAACUGAAAAAGGCUCCCAGCUUUAGUUUCUGUCACAAUGGCGUUCUGGUGGAAGGUGAGACUACACCUGUUGAGGCAGACGUGGUCAUCUUGGCCACUGGAUUCAAGGGGGAGAAAAAGCUCAGAGACAUUUUCGUGUCCCAAACCUUUCAGGACUACAUAGCUGGAUCACCUGAUGCUGCAAUUCCACUCUACAGGUUAAUUUUUUUUCUUU
rnacentral:lncRNA from 1 species